GUUUGGAAGAGAAAAUGGACUUUAAUCUAUACAGCCAUUCCACACUGAGGAAAUCAAGUUAGACAAACAUCUGUCUAAUGUGGCACAAGCACAGCUGAGAGGAGUAGUGACUUCAGUGUCUUUUCUGUCAUUUCCCCUCUUCAGCUCAAAUUCAAAGUUUCCCUAGGAAGGGAGACUCCCUAGUGGAAGAAAGCGGAGAAGCUCCUACUUAGCCAGCACAGCUCUCUGCGAGGAGGCAGGCGCACUGGGGGCAGUCCUUGCCACCCCAGCAGAAACUGGCGCCUCUGUACACCCUUCAGUGAGCACAACAGCAGUUCCAAGGACCAGCUGGCACAAUGCACAGGACAAGAAAAGACAAGAGGAGAAUAGAAGAGGAGCUUUCUCUACUCUGCAACAACUCUGCAACUUUUGACCCAGGGUGUGCCAGCCACUGCAGGACAACCAGGUCUUCCACUCUGCUGCCCAGCCAUGUGCUCUUUAAGAAAAUACACAAUACACAGUACUAAUACAAUAAAUAGUCAUAGCCUCUGUCA
rnacentral:lncRNA from 1 species